rnacentral:lncRNA from 1 species
AGAAUUUGAGAAUUUUUCUUUCAACGACUUCACAAGGUCUGUGUUAAGUAUCUGCACUUCACCAAGGGGAAGGCUGAAAUGUGGAGAAGCCAGGUGACCUCCCACAGUAACUCAGCUGUAGGAACCAGGGUAGCAUGCUCUGUACUCUCCUGCAGCUGUUUUAGAUCAUCCUCACACUCCGUGGGACAAGCUCUUACUCCCCCCACGUUAAAAAUGAGGACUUGAGCUCCAGUGUGAUGAAAUGACUUCUCAUGAUCAUACAACCAAGAAGGAAUAGGCUAGAGAUGGACACUGCCUUUGCCUUUUCCCUGGGACAGGAAGGCAGACCUAACCUGACCAUCUCACAGGUAAGGAAAUAUUCAAGGCCCCAAAACACCAUGGAGAUCAAUACCAGAGCGAGACUAAAAUCCAGAGCUCACAGUUUCUAGUCCUGUGUUCAUUUUGCAUUUCGUUAUGUUAUUUGAGCACAUUUGUGUUUUGGCAAGUUCAGCUCCUUAAGGAAAGGGUCCAGGUCUUUACAACUUGACAUCCCCACAAUGGCCAACACCAUGGAUUGCCUCUGAAGACAUGAAGCAUGUAUCGCUGAUUUGUGGAAUGAACCAACUGCUAUAACUCAUCUCUUUGGUGCCAACGUCUCACUUCUUCAAUUCAUUCUUCAUGCCACUUCUAAAAGUACGGUGCUAAAGCGUUUCUCCUCUUAUUCAACAAAUGCAAUCCUUUUCCACCUUAAGACUCAGCUCCAGUGCCAUCCUCCCUAUGAAGCCUUCUUCAAUCUCACCAUGAUAAUGCCCUGUCUCUGCCUCUCCCACGCUGCUUGACUAGUCCCUCUGCUAUACACUCAUGGGCGGCUCCUCCAUGACAUCAUCCGUUCCUUGAGGAACUGUCAGUCAUCUCUGUACUCUGAAUAAACAUUGAUGAGCAAACACAUAAAGGAAUGCAUGAAUGGGUGGAUGGACUCGUUAAUAAAUAAAGACAUAGAGAAAUGACAAGAUGGAGAGGUGAAAUAUUGGGACUUAGUAGUUAAAAGCAAUGGACUUUAUGUCAGAGCAUCCAACCCUACACAGAGCUUUACUCCUGACUUGCUGUGGGAUCUAGAUAAAGUCACCUCCCCUCUCUUGGCCUCUUUUUGCUUGUGUUUUAAAAGAAAGAGUUAGAGUAGAAUUGCUGCAACUCCUCAUUCUCUAAUUCUGUGAAUGAAAAGUUCAUCCUUGGACAAACCCCAUUAACGGAUGUUUUGUAUCUCCUCCCUUGAAAACAACAAUUGUCCCUCGACCAGCAUCUUAUCUGAAGCAAACCUUCUCUGCCUCAUCCCCACCAGAAGCUUUGCUAUCUCUUAAGGGACCUCCUCAGGGUGUUUGUGAACAAAAGCGAGUGUCUUAUCUGGUCACUCUCUCCUGCACUAUCCUGCCCUUGGAAAACAGGAAUGGAUUUGCAGAAAACAUAGCCUCUGAUAGUCUUUCCACCCCAGGAAUGGCUAGAAAGGCAGCCUCGGCUUUCUUGGAAAGACUGUGUAAUUUCAUGCUACUAUCAGGGCUGACAAGGAGGCAACCCCUAGCCCUGGACCCUUCAGCUAAGUUCAACUCCAGGUCAAGUCAGGGGCCCCCAGCAGCUCAGGGGCACAGGAUCCACAAGGAAGAAAUUCCAGGAUGUUGCCAGAAGCUAACAACAGUUCCCAGCUGUUCCCAGUCGCCUCUUGCCAUUGAAGUAGUUUGGAGUGGGGGUCUUCACACAGACACAGCAGAAGGAAGGUCAAAUGAAUGACUGUGCCUCUGGGCCAGGGUGGAGGACAGGCCAGUGAGAACAGAAGCCUCUUUGUUAUUGGCAGCUCCUGCACAUGGCCCCCUAGACCCUUGAUGGAGACCUCCCUCUCCCCCAAAUCUUGGGGACCUUGACAUCGGUGGUAUUGAUGCAGCUCUCCUCAUGUCAUCGUGGUAAAACUGCUGCUUGCAGCUUGCCUAGGGCCUGGAGCCUCGCUCUGCAAUUCCUUUUGGAGCACAUGCUGUGAAACUCUCUUAUUAAAAGGUAGUUCCAGAACUGAUCUCCCUUGAGUGGAACAAAAACAACAUCUAUCUUAGAAUUGAUUUUGUGCGGAAUGCCUGCUCCCGCCUCCCCACACCUCUCCACUCACCCCCAUUCCCCCAACCCCACUCUUUGUCUGGCAAGCUCCUGCUCAUCAUUCAGGUCCCAGUUUUGAUGUCCCCACUCAGAAAUGCCUCCCCUGCCCACCUUUCACAAACCAAAUUAUGCCCCUCCUCUUAACACAUUCAUCCAUUUUGCCUGGUUUUUUUUCCUUCCUAGAACUCACUACAGCUUGUACUUGUGCAUGUGUGUGUCUGUGCAGUGAUUAUGUCUGCAACUAGUACUUCAAUCUCCUGAUGGUAGAAGCUAUGUUUGUUUUUUCAUCACCAAGAACCCGCACACCUGCCUAGUACACUGCAAAUGAUCAACAAAUAGUUGUUUUUUUAAAAAAUG